UACAGAGGGUGCGAGCGUUGUCCGGAAUCACUGGGCGUAAAGGGCGCGUAGGCGGCCUGAUAAGUAGGGGGUGAAAUCCUGUGGCUCAACUGCAGGGCUGCCUCCUAGACUGUCGGGCUUGAGCACGGUAGAGGCAGAUGGAAUUCCCGGUGUAGCGGUGGAAUGCGUAGAUAUCGAGAAGAACGCGCGCAGCGAAGGCGAGACUCUGGGCAAAUUCUGACGCUGAUGCACGAAGGCUAGGGGAGCAAACGGG
rnacentral:rRNA from 1 species